rnacentral:lncRNA from 1 species
GCAAACAUGGAGUUUUGUAGCAUCCAAAUUCCAUCACAAAAUCAACUUAAGCUUCAUGCGUGGUCUAGAUUUUUUUAAGGACUUAAUAAAUUUUCUUUAGAUAAAUCCCAAUCUUUAAUAAUUUAAACAACAUUUGAAAUAAUUUUAGAAUCGACAAGUGGUUGAUAGUGCAAUUAGUUUGCAUUUGUUUGAGGUGUGUUUGCAAAACUUGAAUAAAAAAUCACUCUCAAACUUCCCUCUCUCUAGCCCAACCCAACCGGUCCUUUUCUUUUUUUUCCCGACCCAGCUGUAGCAACUCGGGCCACCGGCCUCCUUUUCCUCGACGGCCCAUUCCACCAGCCCACCUCCCCACCCACACCCGCUCGGCCUCCCGCACCCGCGACACUCGCCCUCCCCAUGUCCCUCCGCCUCCUGCGCGCAUGCUAUCGCCCCUCCACUUCCCCUCCCUUCAACCAGUAACGGCCGCUCCACCACCACCGCCGCCAUCAAUAGCCAACCGCCGCCCGCCUUCUCCCCUCCCACCUAUGCCACCUCUGCUUCCCCAUGGCCUAUAAAGCCUCCUUGCCUCCUCCUGGUGCUCAUUCACCUAUUUUCUAGCCGCCAACCCUCACCGGAGCCACCUCGCACUGAGCUUCGCCACCGCCAUCGUUCGGCCCUCUGCUGCCAGGACAAGUCCGGCCACCCUCGUCCGCCACUGCCGCCGGUGAGCACCUCCCCAACCUCCUCUCACCCUUCCUCCGCGCCUGCACCCACACCUGUGCGCCACUCCAUGCCGACG